AAUCAACGCUGGCGGCGCGCCUAACACAUGCAAGUCGAACGAGAAAGUCCGCAAGGAUGAGUAAAGUGGCGUACGGGUGAGUAACACGUGGAUAAUCUGCCCUUUUGUGGGGAAUACCGCCGGGAAACUGGUGACAAUACCGCAUAAUCUCGAGAGAGGAAAGCAGCAAUGCGCAGAAGGAGGAGUCCGCGGUCGAUUAGUUAGUUGGCAGGGUAAAAGCCUACCAAGACUGNGAUCGAUAGCCGGCCUGAGAGGGCACACGGCCACACUGGCACUGAAACACGGGCCAGACUCCUACGGGAGGCAGCAGUGGGGAAUCUUGCACAAUGGGGGAAACCCUGAUGCAGCGACGCCGCGUGAGCGAUGAAGGCC
rnacentral:rRNA from 1 species